CUUGACGACCAUAGAGCAUUGGAACCCCCUGAUCCCAUCCCGAACUCAGUAGUGAAACGAUGCAUCGCCGAUGGUAGUGUGGGGUUUCCCCAUGUGAGAGUAGGUCAUCGUCAAGA
rnacentral:rRNA from 1 species